rnacentral:misc_RNA from 1 species
GAUGAAGAACGCAGUGAAAUGCGAUAAGUAAUGUGAAUUGCAGAAUUCCGUGAAUCAUCGAAUCUUUGAACGCACAUUGCGCCCCCUGGUAUUCCGGGGGGCAUGCCUGUCCGAGCGUCAUUGCUGCCCUCAAGCACGGCUUGUGUGUUGGGCCCCGCCCCCCGGCUCCCGGGGGGCGGGCCCGAAAGGCAGCGGCGGCACCGCGUCCGGUCCUCGAGCGUAUGGGGCUUCGUCACCCGCUCCGUAGGCCCGGCCGGCGCCCGCCGGCGACCCCCCUCAAUCUUUUCAGGUUGACCUCGGAUCAGGUAGGGAUACCCGCUGAACUUAAGCAUAUCAAUAAGCGGAGGA